CAGAUGAAUCCCCAAAAUCGGGUCUCACAUGUCCAAAGGAAGGCGUUCAAACGAAAUUCAUCAAGCCUAGUUCUUCGACCUCUCAUCACACGCGGGUUCAGCAUAACGCCAUGUCACGCGAUUCAACACGACACGAAAUCAUUGAUAACGUUGGGUUUCAAUCUGGUUUGCUCCCGGAAUAAAAAAGUCGAAGGAAAGAGGAACCUACCUGACCGAUCCUACGCGGUGGCUUGGACGGUGCGUUUGUCGUUCUUCGAUCGCUAUGCGCUGUUGUCGAUGAUUCGUAUGCAUUUCGUUGCAUCGUUGAAUGGAGGUGGAGCUUUCGAAUCCGGUAGAACAUGUUAUCGUUCAAGCUCACUUUGCGAUUCCGUGACAGUGAUUCUCUGGCGAAGAAAGGUUCUUGAAGGUUUUUGUUGGAGAUGACGGUUGAAUGUGGAUGGUAGGAAAAUGGAGGAUGAAGAAGGUUUUUGGAAGAUCGUUUCUGAGAGAUUUCCCCUGGUUCUGCAGGUUUUAGGGACUCCUUAUCAGAGGGAGAGUUGAAGUUUUGUUAUGGUGAAAAAUGAUUCUCUCCUCUUCAAUCACAGCUUCCCUGUUGAAGUCAGUUGGGAAAAGAAAGAGUUAAUGGAGUUCAGUUUAUGAAGUCGCCAUCAACGAUUAUGAGUUUGUUGGAAGGAUGAAAUUGGUUAGAGUUAUAUUGAUGUAGUUCAUGAAUCACGAUUGCGGAACUUGCUGCACCUGAAUAUGGUUAGUAAAGGCAAGGCAAGUUAUUUGAGACUAACUUUAAUUUUGUUAGCAUGUUAACGACUUUGAAUGAGAGAUGGCUAGGUUCCAUUGGUUAUCAUUGAAUUUUGAAAUGUUAUGUUGUUUUCCAUAACUGAUCCUACUGUGAAAUGAAGAAAAAUUGUUGAACUGUUAGUGUAAAUUGGUUUGGAAAUUAUGAUUCUGUUAGUAUAGUUAGGAUGUUUUGUGGUUAGUUAGUUCACUAGUUGUUAGGUUGAAAUGAAUUGAAAUGAGAGUUAUGCGGUAAAUUCUGUUAGUUAUUUUUUAGAUGUUAUGAAAUCUGAAAAUGCAACCUAAAAUGCAGGUUCUGUUUGUGCAUUGCUUCGUGACUGAACUGCUACUUGUUAGGUUAACAUGUUAGUGUUGGGAACUUAUUUUGAAUUAGAAAGCUAAUGAUUUUCAUGUUAAAAUAAACUAAAAUUGAAUGAGAAUGAAUUGUUACGUUAGGAAACUGUUAAAUUGAAAUGGAUGGAUUAGUGAUAUUAUGGUAUGGUUGUUAAUUGGGUUCGGUUUGAUGUGGUUUUGGUGCUAGGUUUUGCUUGUCCCGUGGUCAUGGCUCAACGAUGCUUGGCAUGGAGGCUUAUGAAAGCUCAAGGUUAUGGUUUGGAAUUGAUUUGGAUGUUUGAAUUAAUCUUGUGUAAUUGACUUAAUUUUGGAGUUGGUUUAUGUAAGGUUUGAACAACGUAAUGCAUUUGGGAAUUUGUUGUAAUUUUGUAUGUAAUGUGAAUUUAAAUAUGUGAAUUGAAAAUGGAUGUAUGCAAUGGUAAUUGGAUGAAAAUGUAUGUAUGAAAAUGAGUUUGGAAAUGUUUGGAAGUUAAAUAUUAUUGAAUGUUAUGAAAUGA